rnacentral:rRNA from 1 species
GACGAACGCUGGCGGCGUGCCUAACACAUGCAAGUCGAACGAGGUCCAUCCUUCGGGAGAAGACCUAGUGGCGAACGGGUGAGCAACACGUGAGAAACCUGCCCCGAAGACCGGGAUAACCCUCCGAAAGGAGAGCUAAUACCGGAUGCCCCCACCGAGCCGCAUGGCUUGGUGAGGAAAUGGAUUCCGCUUCGGGAGGGUCUCGCGGCCUAUCAGCUAGUUGGUGGGGUAACGGCCCACCAAGGCAUCGACGGGUAGCUGGUCUGAGAGGACGAUCAGCCACACUGGGACUGAGACACGGCCCAGACUCCUACGGGAGGCAGCAGUGGGGAAUCUUGCGCAAUGGGCGAAAGCCUGACGCAGCAACGCCGCGUGGGGGAUGAAGGCUCUCGGGUUGUAAACCCUUUCAGCAGGGACGAAAUCAGACGGUACCUGCAGAAGAAGCUCCGGCUAACUACGUGCCAGCAGCCGCG